AUUGAACGCUGGCGGCAUGCCUUACACAUGCAAGUCGAACGGCAGCGGGGGAGAAGCUUGCUUUUCCUGCCGGCGAGUGGCGAACGGGUGAGUAAUACAUCGGAACGUGCCCUGUAGUGGGGGAUAACUAGUCGAAAGAUUAGCUAAUACCGCAUACAACCUGAGGGUGAAAGUGGGGACCGCAAGGCCUCAUGCUAUAGGAGCGGCCGAUGUCUGAUUAGCUAGUUGGUGGGGUAAAGGCCUACCAAGGCGACGAUCAGUAGCUGGUCUGAGAGGACGAUCAGCCACACUGGGACUGAGACACGGCCCAGACUCCUACGGGAGGCAGCAGUGGGGAAUUUUGGACAAUGGGCGAAAGCCUGAUCCAGCAAUGCCGCGUGUGUGAAGAAGGCCUUCGGGUUGUAAAGCACUUUUGUCCGGAAAGAAAUGGCUCUGGUUAAUACCUGGGGUCGAUGACGGUACCGGAAGAAUAAGGACCGGCUAACUACGUGCCAGCCGCCGCGGUAA
rnacentral:rRNA from 1 species